rnacentral:snRNA from 1 species
AUCGCUUCUCGGCCUUUUGGCUAAGAUCGAGCGUAGUAUCUGUUCUUAUCAGUUUGAUAGCUGAUACAUCCUCUAUCCGAGGGCAAGCUAUUAAAUGGAUUUUUGGAGCAAAAAAAAAAGGAAAAAAUAAUUUGCAAAUCAGAUAACCCUCA